GAGGGUCCUCUCUCUAGGGUGUGCAUAAAAAUUUAAAUUUUAGGUUUUUGGUUCUAAAGGUUUGGGAGGAGAAAAUAAAUUAGAUAAAAAUUAUUUUCUUCUCUAUCAUUCUUUUACCUCUUUAUCUUCUCUAGAAAUCCAUCUUCAAUCUCUGAAAAGAUUCCUGAGAUUUGAAGAGAGGAUCCAAAUUAGCCAAGAAGAAGGUCUUCAUGCG
rnacentral:lncRNA from 1 species